CGCCAUCUGCACGAGUUUGCGACGCUAGCGAUUCGCGAGAAAAUCAUGGCGUUCACCUUCCCCGGCUCUUCCGUCCCUGAAUCGAGCAUUCGUUCUUCAAUAAUUGCACCAAAAACUGUCGCCAAGAGUGUGGAGAUCAGAGGCCACGUCCCAUGAUUAAUCCCAUUUAUUCCCCUACUAAAUUUCUUUGAAUUCAUCCAGAUUUUUCAGGGUAUAAUCACAUAUAAGUUGCAGAUGCCAGAGAUCAGCCAGCACUAUGUUUGAGAGAUUUUUCAGCGCAUGUGUUCUAGCGGUGUGCAUCUCAUCUCCAGCGAAAACAAGAUUCAUGGUCAUCAAUCGUAUCGUUUCUAUUUGGAACGACGAUGAUUGAUAUCUUCCCCUGUCGGGCAAAUUCUACAGCAUGCGCCUCCUUUGCUUCACAUUGUGCUUUCCAUGGACCAGUUUGACAUCAGGUUUGAACUUCAAAACUUCAGUUUUUCACACUUUUACCCCGAAUUGUAUGUUAUAUUUUAUCUGAAAGAUACAGUGUUACUUUCCUGAUCUCUGUUCUAAUCACCUGUGUGGCUAGCUUUAGUAGUAUAGUACAAGAGUUCUCCUAUGUGUUGUGCCUUGAUUUGUUUAUUUGUAUCUAAAAUCUCGCAGCUUUCAUGUGCUGAUGACGCUCCAUUGACAUGCAACAGUAUGUGCAUUCUUAACUAUUUUACUGCUAUGUGCUCUUUUUCUCUUCCAGUUCCUCUCAUUAGUUAGUUAUGGUGGGUAUGUUAUAUUAGUUCUUGAUUUACACCAUGGAUCAAUAACUAACGGUGUUGCAAUACCCAUUUAAGUUUUUGCAUUUUGUUCAUUUUUCAUUUUGUUCCCU
rnacentral:lncRNA from 1 species